UGGGCAACCUGCCCUGUACUGGGGAAUAAUCAUUGGAAACGAAUGACUAAUACCGCAUGUGAUCCUCGGAAGGCAUCUUCUGAGGAAGAAAGGAUUUAUUCGGUACAGGAUGGGCCCGCAUCUGAUUAGCUAGUUGGUGAGAUAACAGCCCACCAAGGCGACGAUCAGUAGCCGACCUGAGAGGGUGAUCGGCCACAUUGGGACUGAGACACGGCCCAA
rnacentral:rRNA from 1 species